CUUGGUCAUUUAGAGGUGAGCUUAAACCGUGACGAUGCAAUCGGAAAGACCGGCGGCGGCGCCUGCCUUUUGUGUAGCACGGGUUUCCAACCCGUGCACAGCGCCCGGCACGGGUUGAAAACCCGUGCUACAGAGGAAGAUGCAUCACCGCGCACACCACCGGCAAUUACAUUGCAGUCCCGCACCCUGAGCGGUCCGGUUGCGAGAAUCGAUCGGACAAUGCUCGGCCGGGUCCUUCGCCUUCUCGCGUGUCGGGCAUCCGCAUCCAUCGACCGCGGGGUCUCGAUCGAUCUGUCUGAGCAACGGCUGGCCGCAAUAGGAGAC
rnacentral:misc_RNA from 1 species